rnacentral:rRNA from 1 species
GUCGAACUAUGGGGAGGGGGCCGGGGAAAAACAGGGGGGGGAAGGGGGAAUGGGAUUUAUUGGGGGUAAGGCGGAAGGAGGGGGCUCGCUAAGGCGAUUGGGAAAGCCAUGGGCUCAACCGGGGAAUGGCAGUCGAGACUGGAGAGCUAGAGUUCGGUAGAGGGUGACGGAAUUCCCGGUGUAGCGGUGAAAUGCGUAGAUAUCGGGAGGAACAUCGAUGGCGAAGGCAAUCACCUGGGCCUGAACUGACACUGAGACACGAAAGCGUGGGUAGCAAACAGGAUUAGAUACCCCAGUAGU